rnacentral:RNase_P_RNA from 1 species
UGAGAAACACAGAUGGUCGCGCCUGCCUUAUGGCAGGUGAGGAAAGUCCGGGCUUCACAGGGCAGGGUGCCAGAUAACGUCUGGUGGAGGUGACUCCAAGGAUAGUGCAACAGAAAAUAACCGUCUGACCUGGUCAGAUAAGGGUGAAAAGGCGUGUGUAAGAGACCACCGCUCUUUCGGUAACGAAGGAGGCCGUGUAAACCCCAUCCGAAGAAAGACCAAAUAUAAAGCUAUACGGCUGCCCGUCGUGCUUUUAGGUGGGUCGAUAGAGAUUGUCGGUGACGGCAAUUCGAGAUAGAUGAUCAUCAGAUACAUAACCCGGCUUAUAGUGUUUCUCACUUA